rnacentral:rRNA from 1 species
CCACCCGCCCGUCACGCCAUGGGAGUUGGUUUCACCCGAAGGUGGUGCGCUAACCUAGCAAUAGGAGGCAGCCAACCACGGUGGGAUCAGCGACUGGGGUG